GAACGCAUACCUGUGUGCGGCCGUGCUUAAUCACAUGCAAGUCGAACGGAUAAGGCCCUGCUUGCAGUGGUACUCGAUGUGGCGAACGGGUGAGUAACACGUGGGUGAUCUGCCCUGCACUUCGGGAUAAGCCUGGGAAUACUGGGUCUAAUACCGGAUAGGAGCCAUUGUUCUAGUGUGAUGGUUGGAAAGUUAUUUCUCGGUGUAGGAUGAGCUCGCGGCCUAUCAGCUUGUUGGUGGCGGUAAUGGCCUACCAAGGCGGCGACGGGUAGCCGGCCUGAGAGGGUGGACGGCCACAUUGCGGACUGAGAUACGGCCCAGACUCCUACGGGAGGCAGCAGUGGAGGAACUAUUGCACAAUGGGCGCAAGCCUGAUGCAGCGACGCCGCGUGGGGGAUGACGGACCUUCGGGUUGUAAACUCCUUCUCGCUAGGGACGAAGCUUUUUGUGACGGUACCUAGAUAAGAUAGCACCGGCUACACUACGUGCCAGCGGCACGCGCGUAAUACGUAGGGUGCGAGCGUUGUCCGGAAUUACUGGGCGUAAUAGGCGCUCGUAGGUGGUUUGUCGCGAUCGUCUGUGACAAUUCCGGGGCUUAACUCCGGGCGUGCAGGCGAUACGGGCAUAACUUGAGUACUGUAGCGGUGUAACUGGAAUUCCUGGUGUAAGCGGUGAAAUGCGCAGAUAUCAGCGAGGAUACACGCGAUGGCGACAGGCAGGUUUACUGGAGCAGUUACUGACGCUGACGGAGCGAAUAGCAUGCGGUAGCGAACCAGGAUUAGAUACCCUGGUAGUCCAUGCCGUAAUACGGUGGCGCGCUAGGUGUGAGGGUCUUAUUCGACGACUUUCGUGCCGUUAGCUAACGCAUUAAGUCGCCGCCGCCUGGCGGUAGUACGGCCGCAAGGCUAAUAACUCAAAGGAAUUGACGGGAGGCCUCGCACAAGCGGCUGGAGCAUGUGGAUUAAUUCGAUGCAACGCGAAGAACCUUACCUGGGCUUGACAUACACUGGAUCCGCUGCAUGGAGAUGUAGUAGACCUUUGUGGCUGGUGUACAGGUGGUGCAUGGUUGUCGUCAGCUCGUGUUCGUGUCAGAUGUAUCAUGUUAAGUCCCGCCAACGAGCGCAACCCGUUGUCUUAUGUUGCCAGCAUGUUGGUUGGGGACUCAUGAGAGACUGCCGGGGUCAACUCGGAGGUAAGGUGGAGGAUGACGUCAAAUCAUCAUGCCACCUUAUGUCCAGGGCUUCACACAUGCUACAAUGGUCGGUACGAACGCGCAGCGAUACCUGUGAGGUGGAGCGAAUCGCUGAAAGCCGGCCUUAGUUCGGAUUGGUGGUCUGCAACUCGACCACCAUGAAGUCGGAGUCGCUAAGUAAUCGCAGAUCAGCAAUGCUGCGGUGAAUUACGUUCCUCGGUGCCAUG
rnacentral:rRNA from 1 species